rnacentral:rRNA from 1 species
CCCGCACAAGCAGCGGAGCGUGUGGUUUAAUUCGAUGAUACACGAAGAACCUUACCCAGGCUUGACAUGUUGGUGGUAGGGAUCCGAAAGGUGACCGACCCUUCGGGGAGCCUUCACAGGUGCUGCAUGGCUGUCGUCAGCUCGUGUCGUGAGAUGUCCGGUUAAGUCCGGUAACGAGCGCAACCCUCGCUGUGUGUUAUAUGUGUCACACGGGACUGCCGGUAUCAAGCCGGAGGAAGGUGGGAUGACGUCAAGUCAGCAUGGCCUUUAUGUCUGGGGCUACACACACGCUACAAUGGCCAGUACAAUAGGUUGCAAGACCGCGAGGUGGAGCCAAUCCUUAAAGCUGGUCUCAGUUCGGAUUGCAGGCUGCAACUCGCCUGCAUGAAGUCGGAGUUGCUAGUAACCGCGCGUCAGCCAUAGUGCGGUGAAUACGUUCCCGGGCCUU